UACGAAGGGGGCUAGCGUUGCUCGGAAUCACUGGGCGUAAAGCGCACGUAGGCGGCUUUUUAAGUCAGAGGUGAAAUCCUGGAGCUCAACUCCAGAACUGCCUUUGAUACUGGAGAGCUUGAGUCCGGGAGAGGUGAGUGGAACUGCGAGUGUAGAGGUGAAAUUCGUAGAUAUCGCAAGAACACCAGUGGCGAAGGCGGCUCACUGGCCCGGUACUGACGCUGAGGUGCGAAAGCGUGGGGAGC
rnacentral:rRNA from 1 species